AUUGAACGCUGGCGGCAUGCCUUACACAUGCAAGUCGAACGGUAACAGGUCUUCGGACGCUGACGAGUGGCGAACGGGUGAGUAAUACAUCGGAACGUGCCUAGUAGGGGGGGAUAACUACUCGAAAGAGUGGCUAAUACCGCAUGAGAUCUACGGAUGAAAGCAGGGGAUCGAAAGACCUUGUGCUACUAGAGCGGCCGAUGGCAGAUUAGGUAGUUGGUGGGAUAAAAGCUUACCAAGCCGACGAUCUGUAGCUGGUCUGAGAGGACGAUCGGCCACACUGGGACUGAGACACGGCCCAGACUCCUACGGGAGGCAGCAGUGGGGAAUUUUGGACAAUGGGCGAAAGCCUGAUCCAGCAAUGCCGCGUGCAGGAUGAAGGCCUUCGGGUUGUAAACUGCUUUUGUACGGAACGAAAAGCUCUGGGUUAAUACCCUGGGGUCAUGACGGUACCGUAAGAAUAAGCACCGGCUAACUACGUGCCAGCCGCCGCCGUAAAAC
rnacentral:rRNA from 1 species